UUAAUAUUGUAUAAAUUUAUUCAUCACUUUUUAGGAUUCUGGAUAGGAUCACAGUGGAAUCAGAGUCUGUCCCUGAAACACCAGCUUGUUCAUAAGAAGAGGAGGCAUCUCGCAUCUGUACCUUUCCCCUGAACAUUAAAAGUUGACUAAGAUUAAGCCAUAACAGGGGAUUCCCAGGCCUGUAAGGGUCACCGGGGCCCUGCAGCAUACCACAGUGAUCUCAUGGCUCCCACAAGGCAGGGGACACCCUGGAUGAAGUGCCACCUAAUCUCACUACUGGCAAACCACACAAACAUCAAUCAGCAUACAGCACACAUUUUGGAAUGUGGAAGGAAACCAGAUUACCUGGAGGAAACCCAAAGAAGGUUUGGAGAACUUGUGAGCUCUUUGAGGAGCCUCUCAACUCCAUGUGAACAGCCACCCAAGUAGACAAAACAGCUGUAAGUGCUGUGUUAACAAGGAUCAGCGGAUUUCACUGGGGCAAAACAGACAAAUCUCCUGGCUGACCUGCUCUCGCUGAGUGAUGAGAGACAGAUUGGCCUUACCACAGGUUGAGAGAGUCCUGCCAGUGAAUGAGUUAUCAGCACAGGUGUGGAGCACAAAGCCUCUUUCCAGCUCUCAGCUGGAUGACUGGCAACUUUGAUGGUCAUUUUGUGGUUAGAUAAAGUAAGUCAAGGAAAACUACUCACAU